UGGCAAUAAGUGCAUGGUGUCAUCAUAAAGUGACCAUAAAUCAAAUGCAAGUGGCCGAAAACGCGGAAUAGUUUAUUGCCAAGAAGUCGAUGCAUGUGACUUAAAGAGUGAGCAUUAUCGGAACAAAUUCUUUUCUGAUGCAAGGAACGGCCAUGAUAGGCAAUUGAUCCACGUGCUUUUUGCAAAGUGUUGAUCGGCCGCGGCACAAAUCAACUGAAAAGAUCUUCGAUUAAGCUCGAACAGCAAUCCCAGAAGAAAUCAAUGCAGGCACACUAGAAC